ACUCUCAAGGAAAAUGUGGGCCACCCCCACCUAUAGACAAUGGAGACACUACCUCAUUCCCAUUACCAGUCUAUCCUCCGGGAUCAGUCGUCCAGUACCAAUGCCAGUCCUACUAUGAACUUGAGGGAAGCAGCUCCAUAAAAUGUGAGAAUGGACAGUGGUCAGAACCACCAAAAUGCUUAGAUGCAUGUGUAGUUUCAGAAGAAAUGAUGAGAAAACACAACAUAGAGCUAAAAUGGACAUCGGGUAAAAAACUUUAUUCCAGAACAGAUGAUACUAUUGAAUUUCGGUGUAGACAAGGAUUUUAUAGGAGGACGCCACUACAUACAUUCCGAGCAACCUGUCAGCAAGGCAAAGUGGCCUAUCCUACGUGUGGAUAAAACAGUGGUUAAAAUGCAGUCAUAAAACUGAAAUAGGUACAUUUACUCAGAGUUUGUCAUUAUUAAUCCAGUUCUCCAUUUAUUUGAUCGACUAUUAUUGUUUAACUCAUCUUUAUUCAGAAAUCAGCAUUUGUGUUGAAUAGUAUGUGGAUGUUGUAAUUAUAAUCUGGGAAACCAAUGAAUUACUUCUUUAGAGCAUCUCAUUAAACUUGGCAAAUCAAAAUGCUACGUGUCCUAUUCAUACAACGUCUAUGUAAGAAAUUAGAUGCAAAAACUUGAGCGUCUCCCUCCAACCAUCAUUCUCCUGACUUUCUCAAAGCUUUCAGCAUAACUUCUGAGGCUUCCUGGCACUCCAUUUCAGAGGAUAUGGAAAAGAAUACUUGUCUCCAUUCAAAACUAAUAUCAGUUCACAAAUAAGUAAAAAGAAAAUUGUGCCAUACCUGUAUUAAUAAUAAGAUGUAAGUGGGUAUUACUUUUGCUUAUCUAUCCAUAGAAAAUACACCAACACUUGAUGAAAUUCAUGAUUUUCUGCAAGAUUCCUCUGCAGAACACAUAAUCAUUUGAUCACAUCAUAAAGAGGAAUUAAAAACAAGUUGGAAGCAUAAAUAUAACAUGAUAUAAUGAGUAAUUUUAAAAAUCCAACAUCAAGUAUAAACACACACACAUAUACCAACACACUAUGCUUUAAAAUCAAUGCACUUUAGAGAAAAAAUAUUGUCAGGAAGUAUAAUAGAACAUUUCAAAUAACCAUAGUCGACUUUAGACCCUCUUAAGGGGUUCCUAUAUCCUCAAAUUUUUCUAUCUUUAAUGUAUAUCACCUGUGAAACAAAGAUUAUGUUAUUUUGAAAUAAAGACAUGUACAGAGUAAGACAAUAUGUGUUUGGACAAUAGAGCCCACUUUGGUAACUGUCUUCAGGUCUAGUAACAUUUUCAUGAUUUUGCUGUUACAAAGAAUUUGGGGACUAUUCAACCAGAGGAGUCUGAAAUUUGAUUUUUAUGCUCAUUCAUUUCAAACAGCAUAGUCAGUUUAAAUCAAUGGACUAUAAUCCAAUAAUACAUUAAAAGGAUUGUACAUCAUGAUCAAGUGGGAUUUAUCCCAGGGAUGCAAGGCUUCUUCACUAUCCAUGCAUCCAUCAGUGUGAUACACCGCAUUAACAAACUGAGGAAUGAAAACCAUAUGAUCCUCUCCAUAGAUGCAGAAAAAGCCUUGGAGUUCCCGUCGUGGCGCAGCGGUUAACGAAUCCGACUAGGAACCGUGAGAUUGCGGGUUCGAUCCCUGGCCUUGCUCAGUGGGUUAAGGAUCCAGCGUUGCCAUGAGCUGUGGUGUAGGUUGCAGAUGCGGCUCGGAUCCCACGUUGCUGUGGGUCUGGCGUAGGCCUGUGACUACAGCUCCAAUUCGACCCCUAGCCCGAGAACCUCCACAUGCCACGGGAGUNGGGGAAAAAAAAAAAAAAAAAAAAAAAAAAAAAAAAAAAAAAAAAAAAAAAAAAAAAAAAAAAAAAGAAAGAAAGAAAAAGAAAAAGCCUUUGACAAAUCCAACACCCAUUUCUGAUAAAAACCCUUCAGAAAGUGGGCAUAACAGGAACCUACCUCAACAUAAUAAAGGCCAUAUGUGGCAAAGCCACAGAGAACAUCAUUCCCAUUGGUGAAAAGCUGAAGGAAUUUCCCCUGACAUCAGGAAGAAGACAAGGAUGUCCGCUCUCACCACUACUCUUCAACAUAGUUUUGGAAGUCCUAGCCAUGGCAAGCAGAGAAGUAAAAGAAAUAAAAGGAAUCAAAUUGGAAAGGAAGAAGUAAAACUAUCACUAUUUGCAGAUGACAUGACACUAUACCUAGAGAAUCCUGAAGACUGUUUGAGCUCAUCCAUGAAUUUGGUAAAGUCACAGGAUACAAAAUUAAUACACAGAAAUCGACAGCAUUUCUAUACAUGAAAGAGCAGAAAGAGAAAUUAGGGAAGCAAUCUCAUUUAACAUUGCAUCCAAAAGAAAAAAUACCUAGGAGUAAACCUACCUAAAGAGACAAAAGACCUGUACUCUGAAAACUACUUGACACUGAAGAAAGAAAUCAAAGAUGACCCAAAUAGAUGGAAAGCUAUACCGUGCUCUUGGAUUGGAAGAGUCAAUACCAUCAAAAUGACUACACUACCCAAGACAAUCUACAGAUUCAAUGCAAUCCUUAUCAAAUCACCAAGGACAUUUUUCACAGAACUCGAACGAAAUACUUUAAAGUUUGUUUGGAAGCACAAAAGACCCAGAAGAGCCAAAGACAUCCUGAAAAAGAAAAAUGGAGCUGGAGGAUUCAGGCGCCUUGACUUCAGACUAUACUACAAAGCAACAAUCAUCAAAACCAUAUGGUACUGGCACAAAGACAGACAUAUAGAUCAGUGGAACGGGAUAAGAAAGCCCAGAAUUAAACCCACGGACCUACAGCCAGCUCAUCUAUGAAAAAAGAGGCAAGAAUAUACAGUGGAGAAAGGACAGCUUGUGCAAUAAGUGGUGCUAGGAAAACUGGACAGCCACAUGGAAAAGAAUGAAAUGAGAACACUCCCUAACACCACACACACAAAUAAACUCCAAAUGGAUUAAAGACCUAGAUAUAAGACCAGACACUAUAAAACUCUUAGAGGAAAACAUAGGCCAAACAUAGACAUAAACGACAGCAACAUCUUCUCAGAUCUACCUCUUAGAGUAUUGACAAUAAAAACAAACAUAAACAAAUGGGACCUAAUCAAACUUACAAGUUUCUGCACAGCGAAGGAAACCCUAAACAAAACGAAAAGACAACCCACAGAAUGGGAGAAUAUCUUUGCAAGUGCAUCAACUGACAAGGGAUUAAUCUCCAAAAUUUAUAAACACCUUCUGCAGCUCCAUACCAAAAAAAAA
rnacentral:lncRNA from 1 species